UACAGAGGUCCCGAGCGUUGUUCGGAUUCAUUGGGCGUAAAGGGUGCGUAGGCGGCGCUGUAAGUCGGGUGUGAAAUUUCGGAGCUUAACUCCGAAACUGCAUUCGAUACUGCGGUGCUUGAGGACUGGAGAGGAGACUGGAAUUCAUGGUGUAGCAGUGAAAUGCGUAGAGAUCAUGAGGAAGACCAGUGGCGAAGGCGGGUCUCUGGACAGUUCCUGACACUGAGGCACGAAGGCCAGGGGAGCAAACGGG
rnacentral:rRNA from 1 species